GAUGAAGAACGUAGCGAAAUGCGAUAAGUAAUGUGAAUUGCAGAAUUCAGUGAAUCAUCGAAUCUUUGAACGCACAUUGCGCCCGCCAGUAUUCUGGCGGGCAUGCCUGUUCGAGCGUCAUUUCAACCAUCAAGCCCCAGGCUUGUGUUGGGGACCUGCGGCUGCCGCAGGCCCUGAAAAUCAGUGGCGGGCUCGCUAGUCACUCCGAGCGUAGUAAUUCUUCUCGCUCUGGAGGUCCGGUCGUGUGCUCGCCAGCAACCCCCAAUUUUUUUCAGGUUGACCUCGGAUCAGGUAGGGAUACCCGCUGAACUUAAGCAUAUCAAUAAGCGGAGGA
rnacentral:misc_RNA from 1 species